rnacentral:rRNA from 1 species
GACGAACGCUGGCGGCGUGCCUAAUACAUGCAAGUCGAGCGAAGUUUUUCUGGUGCUUGCACUAGAAAAACUUAGCGGCGAACGGGUGAGUAACACGUAAAGAACCUGCCUCAUAGACUGGGACAACUAUUGGAAACGAUAGCUAAUACCGGAUAACAGCAUUAACUGCAUGGUUGAUGUUUAAAAGUUGGUUUUGCUAACACUAUGAGAUGGCUUUGCGGUGCAUUAGCUAGUUGGUGGGGUAAAGGCCUACCAAGGCGACGAUGCAUAGCCGACCUGAGAGGGUGAUCGGCCACACUGGGACUGAGACACGGCCCAGACUCCUACGGGAGGCAGCAGUAGGGAAUCUUCCGCAAUGGGCGAAAGCCUGACGGAGCAACGCCGCGUGAGUGAAGAAGGAUUUCGGUUCGUAAAGCUCUGUUGUUAGGGAAGAAUGAUUGUGUAGUAACUAUACACAGAGAGACG